rfam:Candidatus Taylorbacteria bacterium RIFOXYD2_FTLL_36_9 rifoxyd2_full_scaffold_636, whole genome shotgun sequence.
GCGGGUAUAGUUUAAUGGUAAAAUAAGAGUUUUCCAAACUCUGGUUGGGCGUUCGAUUCGCCCUACCCGCA